rnacentral:rRNA from 1 species
CAGCCGCCGCGGGAAUACGUAGGGUGCGAGCGUUAAUCGGAAUUACUGGGCGUAAAGCGUGCGCAGGCGGUUGUGUAAGACAGGUGUGAAAUCCCCGGGCUUAACCUGGGAACUGCGCUUGUGACUGCACAGCUAGAGUAUGGCAGAGGGGGGUGGAAUUCCGCGUGUAGCAGUGAAAUGCGUAGGUAUGCGGAGGAACACCGAUGGCGAAGGCAAUCCCCUGGGCCUGCACUGACGCUCAUGCACGAAAGCGUGGGGAGCAAACAGGAUUAGAUACCCCCGUAGUCCCUGUCUCUUAUAC